AUUGAACGCUGGCGGCAGGCUUAACACAUGCAAGUCGAGCGGAGCGAGGGUGCUUGCACCUUAGCUUAGCGGCGGACGGGUGAGUAAUGCUUAGGAAUCUGCCUAUUAGUGGGGGACAACAUUCCGAAAGGAAUGCUAAUACCGCAUACGCCCUACGGGGGAAAGCAGGGGAUCUUCGGACCUUGCGCUAAUAGAUGAGCCUAAGUCGGAUCAGCUAGUUGGUGGGGUAAAGGCCUACCAAGGCGACGAUCUGUAGCGGGUCUGAGAGGAUGAUCCGCCACACUGGGACUGAGACACGGCCCAGACUCCUACGGGAGGCAGCAGUGGGGAAUAUUGGACAAUGGGCGGAAGCCUGAUCCAGCCAUGCCGCGUGUGUGAAGAAGGCCUUUUGGUUGUAAAGCACUUUAAGCGAGGAGGAGGCUACUUAGAUUAAUACUCUGGGAUUGUGGACGUUACUCGCAGAAUAAGCACCGGCUAACUCUGUGCCAGCAGCCGCCGUAAAAC
rnacentral:rRNA from 1 species